CUGUCGCUUAAUAAUCUUAUUUCAGAAAGAAAAUAUAAAGUAGAAUAUUUAAAAUUUUGAUUAAAAGUUAACCAAAUUAACUUUAAAAACUUUAACUGCAAGUAAACUUUUGUAUAUAUCUUUAAGAUAAGGAGUGAUAUUGGUACGAAGAAACACAACUAAAGUUGGAUUGAAGAAAAUAAAAAUUGUUAUAAAUUACCUUGUGUUUGCGCCGGUAUAGGAUUAUCAAUUCGAGGGACUAAAAAAGAACAAUACAUCUUAUUUAAUCGUUUAAUACCAUGAACUCAUUUAAUCUAAGGUUUUAAAAGUGUGUUACCAUCCAAAGAUAAUUCAACUUGAUGCUGCCACUGCCGCUGCCGCUGCUACCAUUCAUUUUUAAAUCUACACCUUAAUCUUAAU